UACAGAGGGUGCAAGCGUUAAUCGGAAUUACUGGGCGUAAAGCGCACGUAGGUGGGUUGGUAAGUUGCUGGUGAAAAGCCUGGGCUUAACCUGGGUCGGUCCUGCAAAACUACCAGCCUAGAGUGUAUUAGAGGGAAGUGGAAUUUCCGGUGUAGCAGUGAAAUGCGUAGAUAUCGGAAGGAACACCAGUGGCGAAGGCGACUUCCUGGAAUAUAACUGACACUGAGGUGCGACAGCGUGGGGAGCAAACAGG
rnacentral:rRNA from 1 species